rnacentral:rRNA from 1 species
GAUGAACGCUGGCGGCGUGCCUAGUACAUGCAAGUCGAGCGAACGGACGAGAAGCUUGCUUCUCUGAUGUUAGCGGCGGACGGGUGAGUAACACGUGGAUAACCUACCUAUAAGACUGGGAUAACUUCGGGAAACCGGAGCUAAUACCGGAUAAUAUUUUGAACCGCAUGGUUCAAAAGUGAAAGACGGUCUUGCUGUCACUUAUAGAUGGAUCCGCGCUGCAUUAGCUAGUUGGUAAGGUAACGGCUUACCAAGGCAACGAUGCAUAGCCGACCUGAGAGGGUGAUCGGCCACACUGGAACUGAGACACGGUCCAGACUCCUACGGGAGGCAGCAGUAGGGAAUCUUCCGCAAUGGGCGAAAGCCUGACGGAGCAACGCCGCGUGAGUGAUGAAGGUCGUCGGAUCGUAAAACUCUGUUAUUAGGGAAGAACAUAUGUGUAAGUAACUGUGCACAUCUUGACGGUACCUAAUCAGAAAGCCACGGCUAACUACG